UGGGGAAUAUUGGACAAUGGGCGGAAGCCUGAUCCAGCCAUGCCGCGUGUGUGAAGAAGGCCUUUUGGUUGUAAAGCACUUUAAGCGAGGAGGAGGCUACUUGGAUUAAUACUCUAGGAUAGUGGACGUUACUCGCAGAAUAAGCACCGGCUAACUCUGUGCCAGCAGCCGCGGUAAUACAGAGGGUGCGAGCGUUAAUCGGAUUUACUGGGCGUAAAGCGUGCGUAGGCGGCUUUUUAAGUCGGAUGUGAAAUCCCUGAGCUUAACUUAGGAAUGGCAUUCGAUACUGGGAAGCUAGAGUAUGGGAGAGGAUGGUAGAAUUCCAGGUGUAGCGGUGAAAUGCGUAGAGAUCUGGAGGAAUACCGAUGGCGAAGGCAGCCAUCUCGCCUAAUACUGACGCUGAGGUACGAGAGCAUGGGGAGCAAACAGG
rnacentral:rRNA from 1 species